AGAUGUCACAUGGUGAACAAAGUACUUUCC
rnacentral:piRNA from 1 species